GAUGAACGCUGGCGGCGUGCCUAAUACAUGCAAGUCGAGCGAACAGACGAGGAGCUUGCUCCUCUGACGUUAGCGGCGGACGGGUGAGUAACACGUGGAUAACCUACCUAUAAGACUGGGAUAACUUCGGGAAACCGGAGCUAAUACCGGAUAAUAUAUUGAACCGCAUGGUUCAAUAGUGAAAGACGGUUUUGCUGUCACUUAUAGAUGGAUCCGCGCCGCAUUAGCUAGUUGGUAAGGUAACGGCUUACCAAGGCGACGAUGCGUAGCCGACCUGAGAGGGUGAUCGGCCACACUGGAACUGGGACACGGUCCAGACUCCUACGGGAGGCAGCAGUAGGGAAUCUUCCGCAAUGGGCGAAAGCCCGACGGAGCAACGCCGCGUGAGUGAUGAAGGUCUUCGGAUCGUAAAACUCUGUUAUUAGGGAAGAACAAAUGUGUAAGUAACUAUGCACGUCUUGACGGUACCUAAUCAGAAAGCCACGGCUAACUACGUG
rnacentral:rRNA from 1 species